UCUGUGCAGCUGUUACCGUGGACACCACAUUUUUGUUCUAUGAAGGUAGCACCAUUUUGCAGAUAAGAAAACAAAGGUUUAGAGAGGUCAAAUGAUGCACCCGAGGUUACCCAGCAAGUGAGUGAGUGGCAGAGUUGGGACAGGAGCUCAAGGCUUAGCAGUUCGCCUCUAGAAUCAAUGCUGCUCCCUUAGCUUUCAGUCGUCCGCACCCCCACUGGUAUCUGGGCUGCCCCUCUGAAGCUCCCCACCUCCCAGCCCGGGGCCCCACCAGAGCCACCUGGUUCUGCCCUGGGGAGUCCGGGUUCAAAGGCCAGACAGGCCUCCCACUAGCAUUCCCCGCUGCCACUGGGAACACAGCUGUCAGCAGGGCUGGAGAGCCAAAAGCCGCCUCCCAAGCAGACCCACAUAAUUGGUACAUUGUCAACUCAGAAACAGAGCUGUGCUGUGGGAUCUCGGGCAAGCCACAGUCCUCUCUGGGCCUUCGUGUCUUCAUCUGGUCGCAGUCUAGAUGAUCUCCAAGGGCCCUUUCAGCUUGGACAGUUGCCUAGGGAGUGACCGAGGAGAAACACGGUGGGGAGAGGCAGCUGUACCAAAGUCCCCGGGAGGCCAUGGGUGUGCCUCAGGUGUCUGGACCGAAGAAUCUGGCCUCUGCCUCCCUUGUGGGUUGGGGUCACAUCUGGGUCCUCUCUGAAGUCCCAACUUGGAGUGUUUGCAAGAUGGAUGGAUGGACAGACAAGUGGACAAACAAAGAAUGAGGACAGAGGACAAUAUCUGCCUGACAGAGUUGCUCUAGAGAACUAAAUGAGAUCUUCGCUAACAUGUGAAUUUGUCACAUUGCUAUCCAGCUGCAGCCUUUUACAAUCAACAAGGCGCACAUAUACCCAACUCAGGAAUGUAGCCUCAACAAACGCCAAGACAUGAGGCAGACAUGACUGUUCCUAUUUUGCAGAAGGACAAACUGAGGCCCAGAUAAGUUCAGGGAGUUGUCUGAGGUCGCAGAAUGAGACGGCGGCCGAGCCAAGGUCCCGCUCACCUGACCCCGGCCUUUCAGAACCACCUGCCCGUCCCAAGACGCCAGGCCUCGCCCCGGAAGGAUCUUUUAGCAGCCGGCUGGAGCCUAUGACUCACUCUCCCCUUCCUACUUUCGGUGGGGCCUGAGAGCCGGAGGGAAGGGACAAAACUAUCUGCAAUUUGAGGGGUGUCCUCUGAAAGUUCAUGGGUUUGUCCCCUUCUUUCCACCAAAAAUCCUGGUUCUUUGAACUCUAACAAGAAGAACUCCUCUUUCAA